rnacentral:tRNA from 1 species
UCCAAUGUGGUUUAGUGGUUAGGAUUCCUGGCUCUCACCCAGGUGGCCCGGGUUCGAUUCCCGGCAUGGGAA